rnacentral:rRNA from 1 species
CCUACGGGAGGCAGCAGUGAGGAAUAUUGGUCAAUGGGCGGAAGCCUGAACCAGCCAAGUAGCGUGUGGGAUGACGGCCCUACGGGUUGUAAACCACUUUUGCGCGGGGAUAACCGGCGGGACGCGUCCCGCCUUGCAGGUACCGCGCGAAUAAGGACCGGCUAAUUCCGUGCCAGCAGCCGCGGUAAU